rnacentral:rRNA from 1 species
UACGUAGGGUGCAAGCGUUAAUCGGAAUUACUGGGCGUAAAGCGUGCGCAGGCGGUGAUGUAAGACAGAUGUGAAAUCCCCGGGCUCAACCUGGGAACUGCAUUCGAGACUGCAUUGCUGGAGUACGGAAGAGGAGGGCGGAAUUCCCGGUGUAGCGGUGAAAUGCGUAGAUAUCGGGAGGAACAUCAGUGGCGAAGGCGGCCCUCUGGUCCAGUACUGACACUCAAGUGCGAAAGCGUGGGAGCAAACAGG